rnacentral:rRNA from 1 species
GACGAACGCUGGCGGCGUGCUUAACACAUGCAAGUCGAACGGAAAGGCCCUGCUUUUGUGGGGUGCUCGAGUGGCGAACGGGUGAGUAACAAGUGAGUAACCUGCCCUUGACUUUGGGAUAACUUCAGGAAACUGGGGCUAAUACCGGAUAGGAGCUCCUGCUGCAUGGUGGGGGUUGGAAAGUUUCGGCGGUUGGGGAUGGACUCGCGGCUUUUCAGCUUGGUGGUGGGGUAGUGGCUUACCAAGGAUUUGCCGGGUCGCCGGCCGGUGAGGGUGACCGGCCACAUUGGGACUGAGAUACGGCCCAGACUCCUACGGGAGGCAGCAGUGGGGAAUAUUGCACAAUGGGCGGAAGCCUGAUGCAGCAACGCCGCGUGCGGGAUGACGGCCUUCGGGUUGUAAACCGCUUUCGCCUGUGACGAAGCGUGAGUGACGGUAAUGGGUAAAGAAGCACCGGCUAACUACGUG